GACGAACGCUGUCGGCGUGCUUAACACAUGCAAGUCGAACGGAAAGGCCCUGCUUUUGUGGGGUGCUCGAGUGGCGAACGGGUGAGUAACACGUGAGUAACCUGCCCUUGACUUUGGGAUAACUUCAGGAAACUGGGGCUAAUACCGGAUAGGAGCUCCUGCUGCAUGGUGGGGGUUGGAAAGUUUCGGCGGUUGGGGAUGGACUCACGGCUUAUCAGCUUGUUGGUGGGGUAGUGGCUUACCAAGGCUUUGACGGGUAGCCGGCCUGAGAGGGUGACCGGCCACAUUGGGACUGAGAUACGGCCCAGACUCCUACGGGAGGCAGCAGUGGGGAAUAUUGCACAAUGGGCGGAAGCCUGAUGCAGCAACGCCGCGUGCGGAUGACGGCCUUCGGGUUGUAAACCGCUUUCGCCUGUGACGAAGCGUGAGUGACGGUAAUGGGUAAAGAAGCACCGGCUAACUACGUGCCAGCAGCCGCGGUGAUACGUAGGGUGCGAGCGUUGUCCGGAUUUAUUGGGCGUAAAGGGCUCGUAGGUGGUUGAUCGCGUCGGAAGUGUAAUCUUGGGGCUUAACCCUGAGCGUGCUUUCGAUACGGGUUGACUUGAGGAAGGUAGGGGAGAAUGGAAUUCCUGGUGGAGCGGUGGAAUGCGCAGAUAUCAGGAGGAACACCAGUGGCGAAGGCGGUUCUCUGGGCCUUUCCUGACGCUGAGGAGCGAAAGCGUGGGGAGCGAACAGGCUUAGAUACCCUGGUAGUCCACGCUGUAAACGGUGGGUACUAGGUGUGGGGUCCAUUCCACGGGUUCCGUGCCGUAGCUAACGCUUUAAGUACCCCGCCUGGGGAGUACGGCCGCAAGGCUAAAACUCAAAGGAAUUGACGGGGCCCCGCACAAGCGGCGGAGCAUGCGGAUUAAUUCGAUGCAACGCGUAGAACCUUACCUGGGUUUGACAUGGAUCGGGAGUGCUCAGAGAUGGGUGUGCCUCUUUUGGGGUCGGUUCACAGGUGGUGCAUGCCUGUCGUCAGCUCGUGUCGUGAGAUGUUGGGUUAAGUCCCGCAACGAGCGCAACCCUUGUUCACUGUUGCCAGCACGUUAUGGUGGGGACUCAGUGGAGACCGCCGGGGUCAACUCGGAGGAAGGUGGGGAUGACGUCAAGUCCUCAUGCCCCUUAUGUCCAGGGCUUCACGCAUGCUACAAUGGCUGGUACAGAGAGUGGCGAGCCUGUGAGGGUGAGCGAAUCUCGGAAAGCCGGUCUCAGUUCGGAUUGGGGUCUGCAACUCGACCUCAUGAAGUCGGAGUCGCUAGUAAUCGCAGAUCAGCAACGCUGCGGUGAAUACGUUCCCGGG
rnacentral:rRNA from 1 species